GGGAGGUCGGGGCUGCAGGGAGCCCUGAUCCUGCCACUGCACUCCAGCCCGGGCGACAGAGUGAGACCCUGCCUCAAAAAUAAUCAUAAAUACUGAGUUCGGGGAGGUUCAUUAUGAUUGAUGCACUUGAGUUACCGAUUUGGGUCGAGGGUUCAGUGAAGCUUUGGUUUACAUCUUGUGCAGCUAACCAUGUUGAGCACAGAGCAUGAGACUUCGUCAUGAGGAGGGAGGAUUAUGGAUUAGGCUUCUGGA
rnacentral:lncRNA from 10 species